CGCGGGUUAAAUCUCUGGCAGAGAUUGCAGGUCUCAUAAGCCUGAAAGAGGUCGGUUCGAUUCCGGCACCCGCUACCA
rnacentral:tRNA from 1 species